AGUAACACGUGGGCAAUCUGCCCUUCACUCUGGGACAAGCCCUGGAAACGGGGUCUAAUACCGGAUAACACUCUGUCCCGCAUGGGACGGGGUUAAAAGCUCCGGCGGUGAAGGAUGAGCCCGCGGCCUAUCAGCUUGUUGGUGGGGUAAUGGCCUACCAAGGCGACGACGGGUAGCCGGCCUGAGAGGGCGACCGGCCACACUGGGACUGAGACACGGCCCAGACUCCUACGGGAGGCAGCAGUGGGGAAUAUUGCACAAUGGGCGAAAGCCUGAUGCAGCGACGCCGCGUGAGGGAUGACGGCCUUCGGGUUGUAAACCUCUUUCAGCAGGGAAGAAGCGAAAGUGACGGUACCUGCAGAAGAAGCGCCGGCUAACUACGUGCCAGCAGCCGCGGUAAUACGUAGGGCGCAAGCGUUGUCCGGAAUUA
rnacentral:rRNA from 1 species